GCCUAACACAUGCAAGUCGAACGAGUCCAGUCCUUCGGGACUGAGGCGAGUGGCGGACGGGUGAGUAACACGUGAGCAAUCUAUCCUGUUGCGGGGGACAACGAGGGGAAACCUUCGCUAAUACCGCAUAGUCGAGAGAUCCGCCUGGGUCUUUCGGGAAACGUGGCCUCUUUACAAUGCUACGGCGAUAGGAGGAGCUCGCGGGCUAUCAGCUAGUUGGUGAGGUAACGGCUCACCAAGGCUACGACGGCUACGGGGUCUGAGAGGACGACCCCGCACAUUGGAACUGAGACACGGUCCAGACUCCUACGGGAGGCAGCAGUGGGGAAUAUUGGGCAAUGGCCGAAAGGCUGACCCAGCGACGCCGCGUGUGGGAGGAAGCCCUUCGGGGUGUAAACCACUGUCAGGAGGGACGAAAGAGUCGGGAGUGAAUAAUUCCCGGCAGUGACGGUACCUUCAAAGGAAGCACCGGCUAACUCUGUGCCAGCAGCCGCGGUAAUACAGAGGGGGCAAGCGUUGUUCGGAAUUACUGGGCGUAAAUCGCACAGGGGCGGGUCCUGUAAGUCGGAAGUGAAAUUUCGGAGCUCAACUGCGAAGCUGCUUCUGAUACUGCGGAUCUAGAGACCGGUAGAGUCGGUGGAAUUACAGGUGUAGCGGUGGAAUGCGUAGAUAUCUGUAAGCACCCCGUGCGAAGGGCCGACUGGGCCGGAUCUGACGCUGAGGCGCGAAAGCGUGGGGAGCAAACAGGAUUAGAUACCCUGGUAGUCCACGCCGUAACCGAUGGGCACUAGGUGCCGGGGGGAGCGACCCCUCCGGUGCCGCAGCUAACGCGAUAAGUGCCCCGCCUGGGGAGUACGGCCGCAAGGCUGAAACUCAAAGGAAUUGACGGGGGCCCGCACAAGCGGUGGAGCAUGUGGUUUAAUUCGAAGCAACGCGAAGAACCUUACCUAGGUUUGACAUGUAGAUGAAAGCUCUUGGAAACAGGGGCCCUUCUUCGGAACAUUUACACAGGUGCUGCAUGGCUGUCGUCAGCACGUGUCGUGAGAUGUUGGGUUAAGUCCCGCAACGAGCGCAACCCUUGCCCCGUGUUACUAACAGGUAAAGCUGAGGACUCUCGGGGGACUGCCGGCGUCAAGUCGGAGGAAGGUGGGGACGACGUCAAGUCAUCAUGGCCCUUACGCCUAGGGCGACACACGUGCUACAAUGGCCAGGACAGAGGGCUGCGAAGCUGCAAAGUGAAGCGAAUCCCAGAAACCUGGUCUAAGUUCGGAUUGUGGGCUGAAACUCGCCCACAUGAAGCCGGAAUCGCUAGUAAUCGCGGAUCAGCCAUGCCGCGGUGAAUACGUUCCCGGGCCUUGUGCACACCGCCCGUCACGCCAUGGAAGUUGGGAGUGCCCGAAGCCCGUAUGCUAACCGCAAGGAGGCAGCGGUCUAAGGCAAGCUCGAUGACUGGGGCGAAGUCGUAACAAGGUAGCCGUAGGGGAACCUGCGGCUGGAUCACCUCCUU
rnacentral:rRNA from 1 species